GGAAGCCACAUGGGGCAAGCUUUCAAAGUUCCAGGUUGCCCUCCCAGGUGUCUCCUGGAGCUGCUCAUGGCCUGGAGUCUCCAAGUAUGACAGCGGCAGCAGGAAGCACCAGAGGCUGCAUGAAACCAGUCCCUUCAGGGCAGUGCCCACAUUUGAGGCCCAGCAAGGGAAAUACCACAUAAGUGACAUCUGAGCACAAAUUGUACAGACCGUGUACAUCCAACCAAGUGAGAGACAGAUGGAAUACCGAAAGCCGGAAAAGACUGAACUGCACCUGGCAUAAAAUGUCUACUCCUUAGCUGCUCAGCCAAUGUCUCCCAGGAUCUGAAGAGAAGCGGCCUUUGAAUAGAAAAGGCCUCAAGGCAGCUGGAGCAUGUAAACCUAUGUAUUGAUGAGGAUAGGUUUAGCUUUGCUGCAGUAACAAACAAUCCCUGAAAUCCAAUGGCUUAACAACACAAUAUAAGUUCAUUUCUCACUCA